CGAUCUACAUUUUCAAACAUGUAAAACUGCUUUUGCUUACGACACAAUCCGUCUCAUUUUAUCUCUACCCCGCUACAAAUGGAUGCUUUCACAGGUUGUCAAAUAUUACCAUGUUCUCAUAAAGUUCAUUAAGAAUGCGCCAAUGAAAUGAUUCGAAGAGUAAUAACACGCUGUCCCAUUUGUCGUGAAAGUUUUGCUCAUAAACUUGAAAGAAAACUCCAUCGAAGAGACGUCACGGUGGAAGACAUAAAUGACAAGCAGCCAUUAGAUAGAUUUACAUUUUGUCCUUCGAUCUGUAUUUCUAUAUUGGCUGCUUUUAAUUUGAUUAUAGAAAACGAUG